rnacentral:rRNA from 1 species
AACGCUAGCUACAGGCUUAACACAUGCAAGUCGAGGGGAAACGACAUCGAAAGCUUGCUUUUGAUGGGCGUCGACCGGCGCACGGGUGAGUAACGCGUAUCCAACCUGCCCACCACUUGGGGAUAACCUUGCGAAAGUAAGACUAAUACCCGAUGAUAUCCCUAGACGACAUCUGAAAGGGAUUAAAGAUUUAUCGGUGAUGGAUGGGGAUGCGUCUGAUUAGCUUGUUGGCGGGGUAACGGCCCACCAAGCCGACGAUCAGUAGGGGUUCUGAGAGGAAGGUCCCCCACAUUGGAACUGAGACACGGUCCAAACUCCUACGGGAGGCAGCAGUGAGGAAUAUUGGUCAAUGGGCGAGAGCCUGAACCAGCCAAGUAGCGUGCAGGAUGACGGCCCUAUGGGUUGUAAACUGCUUUUAUAAGGGAAUAAAGUGGGUCACGUGUGACUUUUUGCAUGUACCUUAUGAAUAAGGACCGGCUAAUUCCGUGCCAGCAGCCGCGGUAAUACGGAAGGUCCGGGCGUUAUCCGGAUUUAUUGGGUUUAAAGGGAGCGCAGGCCGUGGGUUAAGCGUGUCGUGAAAUUCCGUCGCUCAACGGCGGACGUGCGGCGCGAACUGGUCCACUUGAGUACGCGGGACGUUGGCGGAAUUCGUGGUGUAGCGGUGAAAUGCUUAGAUAUCACGAAGAACUCCGAUUG